GCGUGGGUGAUGAAGGCCUUCGGGUUGUAAAGCCCUUUCACACGCGAUGAUGAUGACGGUAGCGUGAGAAGAAGCCCCGGCUAACUUCGUGCCAGCAGCCGCGGUAAGACGAAGGGGGCAAGCGUUGUUCGGAAUCACUGGGCGUAAAGGGCGCGUAGGCGGCCGCUCGCGUCAGGUGUGAAAGCCCCGGGCUCAACCUGGGAACGGCACUUGAUACGGGGCGGCUGGAGAGCGGGAGAGGAUGGUGGAAUUCCCAGUGUAGAGGUGAAAUUCGU
rnacentral:rRNA from 1 species